rfam:Planctomycetes bacterium GWF2_42_9 gwf2_scaffold_1935, whole genome shotgun sequence.
AGAUUCCCAUCUUGGCAAGGAGAAGUGAGCCACUCCACCAAGGAUCGAGUCUUGGGCUCAUGGAGGUAACGAUAUGAGUUAAGCGUAGACAGAGCGACAUCCGGGCUGUAACGAAAGUGAAGCGGUAGAGCCACGUAACAACAACAUCCGAGGGCUGACAGGUUUGAACCCCUGGAAAGCAAUAGUAGGCAGCCGAUAAAGGCGAGGCUGUCGGAGACCUCGGCGGGGUCUGAGAGCA